rnacentral:rRNA from 1 species
UACAGAGGUCUCAAGCGUUGUUCGGAUUCAUUGGGCGUAAAGGGUGCGUAGGCGGCGCGGUAAGUCGGGUGUGAAAUCUCGGAGCUUAACUCCGAAACUGCAUUCGAUACUGCUGUGCUUGAGGACUGGAGAGGAGACUGGAAUUUACGGUGUAGCGGUGAAAUGCGUAGAUAUCGUAAGGAAGACCAGUGGCGAAGGCGGCGCUCUGGGCCGGAACUGACGCUGAGGAGCGAAAGCGUGGGUAGCAAACAGG